GACGCAAAAGUACAGCAUAUUGCUGUAAAUUUUAAAUCUACAGAGGCGGGGUUUUCUUCAACGGUCGACAUUCAGGAGCGGCAAUAAGUACGAUUCACAACUGUGCAUAUAUUCACUCUGGAGUAACCUUACCAGGAUACAGACGGAGAUUUGGAGUUCAUUCAAAGAUAUUUAAGAGGAGCAAAGAAGUCGAAAGGAAAAGUGCCAUCUAAAACAACAGGGCAAAUGGUACAGAAAAAAACGGUUGAAGUGAACCCAAGUUGCCACUCUUCUUUGCAAAGUGAAGGAUUUUCAGUGGA